UACGGAGGGUGCGAGCGUUGUUCGGAAUUACUGGGCGUAAAGCGCGUGCAGGCGGCCGACUAAGUCAGGUGUGAAAUCCCUCGGCUUAACCGGGGAACUGCAUCUGAUACUGGAUGGCUUGAGUUCGGGAGAGGGAUGCGGAAUUCCAGGUGUAGCGGUGAAAUGCGUAGAUAUCUGGAGGAACACCGGUGGCGAAGGCGGCAUCCUGGACCGGCAUUGACGCUGAGGCGCGAAAGCCAGGGGAGCAAACGGG
rnacentral:rRNA from 1 species